rfam:Slackia sp. CM382 contig00022, whole genome shotgun sequence.
CCGGAAGAUGUCGAGGGCGCACGGUGGAUGCCUUGGCAUCCGGAGCCGAAGAAGGACGUGGCAAGCUGCGAUAAGCCGCGGGGAGGCGCAAACGGCCUUCGAUCCGCGGAUCUCCGAAUGGGGCAACCCGCCCGGGGCCAUGCCCGGGCGCGCCCGCCCGAACGCAUAGGGCGGGACGGGGCAACCGGGGGAACCGAAACAUCCAAGUACCCCGAGGAAGAGAAAUCAAACGAGAACGCGCGAGUAGCGGCGAGCGAAAGCGCGCGAGCCCAAACCGGCGGCGCCGUCGAGCCUCGACGCGCUGGCCCGCCGGGGUUGCGGGGCAUGCGAGGGGAGGGGUCGAGCCCUCCCGGGAGGUUGCAAACCGCACGCGCAGCGGAACGGCAUGGGAAGGCCGGCGAUACCGGGUGAGAGCCCCGUACGCGAAGCGCAUGCGGCCUCCCCGGCAUGUCCCCGAGUAGGCCCGGGCACGUGAAACCCGGGCCGAAGCUGGGGGGACCGCCCUCCAAGGCUGAACACUCCCGGAUGACCGAUAGUGGACGAGUACCGUGAGGGAAAGGUGAAAAGCACCCCGAGAGGGGAGUGAAACAGCGCCUGAAACCGUGCGCCCACAAGCAGUCGGAGCGCCCCUUCGAAGGCGGCGUGACGGCGUGCCUUUUGUAGAAUGAGCCUGCGAGUUGCGGCGCGCGGCGAGGCCAAGCGAUUGGCGAGCCGCAGCGAAAGCGAGUCUGAACAGGGCGACUCUUCCAGUCGCGCGCCGCAGACGCGAAGCCGGGUGAUCUACCCGCGGCCAGGCUGAAGCAGGGGUAAGACCCUGUGGAGGGCCGAACCCACUUCGGUUGAAAACGGAGGGGAUGAGCCGCGGGUAGGGGUGAAAGGCCAAUCAAACCCGGAGAUAUCUCGUUCUCCCCGAAAUAGCUUUAGGGCUAGCCUCGGGAGGUGGAUCGCGGAGGUAGGGCGCCGGACGGCCGAGGGGGCUUCACCGCCUACCGAAGCCGACCGAACUGCGAAUGCCGCGACCAGACACCCCGGGAGUCAGGCCGCGCGGGCUAAGCCGCGCGGCCGAGAGGGGAACAGCCCAGACCGCCCGCUAAGGCCCCCAAUUCCGCGCUGAGUGGCAAAGGAUGUGCGUUUGCCUAGACAACCAGGAUGUUGGCUUAGAAGCAGCCAUGCAUUCAAAGAGUGCGUAACAGCUCACUGGUCGAGUGGACAUGCGCCGACAAUACACGGGGCUAAGCGCGGAGCCGAAGCGGCGGGGCCGCGCCCUUCUUCGGGCGCGGCCGGUAGGGGAGCGUUCCGCGCAGGGGCGAAGCCGCCGGGGCGACCGGCGGUGGACCGCGCGGAAGCGAGAAUGCAGGCAUGAGUAACGAGAGAGGGGCGGGAAACCCCUCCGCCGUAAGCGCGAGGUUUCCUGGGCGAGGCUAAUCCCCCCAGGGUCAGUCGGGCGCUAAGGCGAGGCCGCGAGGCGUAGCCGAUGCCCAGCAGGCGGACAUUCCUGCACCGCCGCCGGACCGCUAGGACCGACGGGGCGACGAAGGAGGAUAGGCGGGCGGGGUUCUGGACGUCCCCGUGAAAGCGCGUAGGGCGGGCCGCAGGCAAAUCCGCGGCCCACGAGAGCCUGAGACGCGAGACGAAGCCCUUAGGGCGAAGCCGCUCAUUCCAUGCUUCCGAGAAAAACCCCUAGGCAGGGCCGGCGGCGCCCGUACCUAAACCGACACAGGUGCGCGGGUAGAGCAUACCGAGGCGUUCGGGAGAACCAUGGCCAAGGAACUCGGCAAAACCGCCCCGUAACUUCGGGAGAAGGGGCGCCGCCGGGGGUGGAGGGGCGAGCCCCCCGAGCCCGCGGCGGCCGCAGCGAAUAGGCCCAGGCGACUGUUUACCAAAAACACAGGACUCUGCCAAGCCGCAAGGCGACGUAUAGGGUCUGACGCCUGCCCGGUGCCGGAAGGUCACGCGGAAGGGUCAGCGCAAGCGAAGCCCCGAAGCCAAGCCCCGGUAAACGGCGGCCGUAACUAUAACGGUCCUAAGGUAGCGAAAUUCCUUGUCGGGUAAGUUCCGACCUGCACGAAAGGCGUAACGACCUGGGCGCUGUCUCGGCCAUGGACCCGGUGAAAUUGCAUUAUUCGUGAAGAUGCGAAUUACCCGCGGAAGGACGGAAAGACCCCGUGAACCUUCACUGCAGCUUGGCAUUGGCCGACGGUUCGGUGCGUAGAGGAUAGGCAGGAGCCCGCGAAGCGGGGGCGCAAGCCCCCGCGGAGGCGCCCUUGGAAUACUGCCCCCAUCGCUCCGGCGGCCUAACGCGCGGCCGCCAUCCGGCGCGCGGACCGUGCCAGGCGGGCAGUUUGACUGGGGCGGUCGCCUCCCAAAAGGUAACGGAGGCGCGCGCAAGGUCCGCUCGGGACGGUCGGCAACCGUCCUUGGAGCGCAAGAGCACAAGCGGGCCUGACUGCGAGACCCACGAGUCGAGCAGGGACGAAAGUCGGCUCUAGUGAUCCGGCGGCCCCACGUGGGAGGGCCGUCGCUCAACGGAUAAAAGGUACUCCGGGGAUAACAGGCUGAUCUUGCCCAAGAGUCCACAUCGACGGCAAGGUUUGGCACCUCGAUGUCGGCUCAUCGCAUCCUGGGGCUGUAGUCGGUCCCAAGGGUAUGGCUGUUCGCCAUUCAAAGCGGUACGCGAGCUGGGUUCAGAACGUCGUGAGACAGUUCGGUCCCUAUCCUCCGCGGGCGCAGGAGAACUGAGGGGAGCCGCCCCUAGUACGAGAGGACCGGGGCGGACGCACCUCUGGUGCACCGGUUGUCGACCGACGGCAUCGCCGGGUGGCCACGUGCGGACGGGAUAAGCGCUGAAGGCAUCUAAGCGCGAAGCCUCCCCUAAGAUGAGUUCUCCCUUCGGUAAGGACCCCGGCAGACCACCGGGUCGAUAGGCCGCAGCUGCAAGCACGGCGACGUGCUCAGGCGAGCGGUACUAAUAGUCCGAGCUCUUCCGAAU